CAGUCGCCGCGGGAAUACGAAGGGUGCAAGCGUUACUCGGAAUUACUGGGCGUAAAGCGUGCGUAGGUGGUUGUUUAAGUCUGCUGUGAAAGCCCUGGGCUCAACCUGGGAAUUGCAGUGGAUACUGGGCGACUAGAGUAAGGUAGAGGAUAGUGGAAUUUCCGGUGUAGCAGUGAAAUGCGUAGAGAUCGGAAGGAACAUCUGUGGCGAAGGCGACUAUCUGGGCCAUUACUGACACUGAGGCACGAAAGCGUGGGGAGCAAACAGGAUUAGAUACCCCGGUAGUCCCUGUCUCUUAUAC
rnacentral:rRNA from 1 species